rnacentral:tRNA from 1 species
AAAGGGAGACCUAAUUCAGGUAGGAGACGAAAAAAAAGUAGUCGCUACCAAGAAUCAAUCCCAAAAGGUCGGAGCGAGGCGAAAUUGGCUUUCAAACUAGGUUCUGGGUUCACACAAGACCUGAAUCAGGAACAAGGGCUAUUAGCUCAGGUGGUUAGAGCGCACCCCUGAUAAGGGUGAGGUCCCUGGUUCGAGUCCAGGAUGGCCCACCUGUACAGGUGGCAAAAACAAAGAAAAGAAGCUCCGAAUCAGCACCUUAUCUUAUUUAUAUAGUAAGAGAGAAUGCUGGCUCUGAGUAAAGAGUCCAGAGGAACCUUGAAAACUGCAUAGAGCUAGGUGAAAAAGCCAAAAAAGAAGACCGCAAG